rnacentral:misc_RNA from 1 species
UCCUGCUGAGAUAGAACAAAUGUCA